CUGGAAUUCCUGGUGUAGCGGUGAAAUGCGCAGAUAUCAGGAGGAACACCGAUGGCGAAGGCAGGUCUCUGGGCAGUAACUGACGCUGAGGAGCGAAAGCAUGGGUAGCGAACAGGAUUAGAUACCCUGGUAGUCCAUGCCGUAAACGGUGGGCGCUAGGUGUGGGGAUCUUUCUACGAUUUCCGUGCCGUAGCUAACGCAUUAAGCGCCCCGCCUGGGGAGUACGGCCGCAAGGCUAAAACUCAAAGGAAUUGACGGGGGCCCGCACAAGCGGCGGAGCAUGUGGAUUAAUUCGAUGCAACGCGAAGAACCUUACCUGGGCUUGACAUAUGCAGGAUCGCUGCAGAGAUGUAGUUUCCCUUGUGGUCUGUAUACAGGUGGUGCAUGGUUGUCGUCAGCUCGUGUCGUGAGAUGUUGGGUUAAGUCCCGCAACGAGCGCAACCCUUGUCUUGUGUUGCCAGCACGUUAUGGUGGGGACUCGCGAGAGACUGCCGGGGUUAACUCGGAGGAAGGUGGGGAUGACGUCAAAUCAUCAUGCCCCUUAUGUCCAGGGCUUCACACAUGCUACAAUGGUCGGUACAGAGGGUCGCGAUACCGUGAGGUGGAGCUAAUCCCUGAAAGCCGGUCUCAGUUCGGAUUGGAGUCUGCAACUCGACUCCAUGAAGUCGGAGUCGCUAGUAAUCGCAGAUCAGCAACGCUG
rnacentral:rRNA from 1 species